UAGGGAAUCUUCCACAAUGGGCGCAAGCCUGAUGGAGCAACGCCGCGUGAGUGAAGAAGGUCUUCGGAUCGUAAACUCUGUUGUUAGAGAAGAACAUGCAGGAGAGUAACUGUUCUUGUAUUUGACGGUAUCUAACCAGAAAGCCACGGCUAACUACGUGCCAG
rnacentral:rRNA from 1 species